rnacentral:rRNA from 1 species
CGUUCCCGGACCUUGUACACACCGCCCGUCAAGCCAUGGGAGUUGGGAGGACCUGAUGCCAGUUGCUGUAAGGCGCUGUUUAGGGUAAAACCAAUGACUGGGGCU